rnacentral:rRNA from 1 species
CCUACGGGGGGCAGCAGUGGGGAAUAUUGCACAAUGGGGGAAACCCUGAUGCAGCGACGCCGCGUGAAGGAAGAAGUAUUUCGGUAUGUAAACUUCUAUCAGCAGGGAAGAAAGUGACGGUACCUGACUAAGAAGCCCCGGCUAACUACGUGCCAGCAGCCGCGGUAAUACGUAGGGGGCAAGCGUGAUCCGGAUUUACUGGGUGUAACGGGAGCGUAGGCGGCGAUGCAAGUCAGAAGUGAAAGCCCGGGGCUAAACUACGGGACUGCUUUUGAAACUGUAUGGCUAGAGUGCAGGAGAGGCAAGUGGAAUUCCUAGUGUAGCGGUGAAAUGCGGAGAUAUCAGGAGGAACACCGGUGGCGAAGGCGGCCUGCUGGAAUGCGACUGACGUUGAGGCCCGAAAGCGUGGGGAGCAAACAGGAUUAGAUACCCUUGUAGUC